GAUGAACGCUAGCUACAGGCUUAACACAUGCAAGUCGAGGGGCAGCAUGGUCUUAGCUUGCUAAGGCCGAUGGCGACCGGCGCACGGGUGAGUAACACGUAUCCAACCUGCCGUCUACUCUUGGACAGCCUUCUGAAAGGAAGAUUAAUACAAGAUGGCAUCAUGAGUCCGCAUGUUCACAUGAUUAAAGGUAUUCCGGUAGACGAUGGGGAUGCGUUCCAUUAGAUAGUAGGCGGGGUAACGGCCCACCUAGUCUUCGAUGGCUAGGGGUUCUGAGAGGAAGGUCCCCCACAUUGGAACUGAGACACAGUCCAAACUCCUACGGGAGGCAGCAGUGAGGAAUAUUGGUCGAUGGGCGAGAGCCUGACCCAGCCAAGUAGCGUGAAGGAUGACUGCCCUAUGGGUUGUAAACUUCUUUUAUAAAGGAAUAAAGUCGGGUAUGGAUACCCGUUUGCCUGUACUUUAUGAAUAAGGAUCGGCUAACUCCGUG
rnacentral:rRNA from 1 species